GCGGACGGGUGAGUAACACGUGGGCAACCUGCCUUACAGAGGGGGAUAGCCUUCCGAAAGGAAGAUUAAUACCGCAUAUUAUGAUUUUUCUGCAUGGGAAAGUCAUGAAAGGAGCAAUCCGCUGUAAGAUGGGCCCGCGGCGCAUUAGCUAGUUGGUGGGGUAACGGCCCACCAAGCCGACGAUCAGUAGCCGACCUGAGAGGGUGACCGGCCACAUUGGGACUGAGACACGGCCCAAACUCCUACGGGAGGCAGCAUG
rnacentral:rRNA from 1 species